UGAGGAAUAUUGGUCAAUGGACGAGAGUCUGAACCAGCCAAGUAGCGUAAAGGAUGACUGCCCUAUGGGUUGUAAACUUCUUUUAUACGGGAAUAAAGUGAGGCACGUGUGCCUUUUUGUAUGUACCGUAUGAAUAAGGAUCGGCUAACUCCGUGCCAGCAGCCGCGGUAAUACGGAGGAUCCGAGCGUUAUCCGGAUUUAUUGGGUUUAAAGGGAGCGUAGGCGGACGCUUAAGUCAGUUGUGAAAGUUUGCGGCUCAACCGUAAAAUUGCAGUUGAUACUGGGUGUCUUGAGUACAGUAGAGGCAGGCGGAAUUCGUGGUGUAGCGGUGAAAUGCUUAGAUAUCACGAAGAACUCCGAUUGCGAAGGCAGCCUGCUGGACUGUAACUGACGCUGAUGCUCGAAAGUGUGGGUAUCAAACAGGAUUAGAUACCCUGGUAGUCCACACAGUAAACGAUGAAUACUCGCUGUUUGCGAUAUACAGUAAGCGGCCAAGCGAAAGCGUUAAGUAUUCCACCUGGGGAGUACGCCGGCAACGGUGAAACUCAAAGGAAUUGACGGGGGCCCGCACAAGCGGAGGAACAUGUGGUUUAAUUCGAUGAUACGCGAGGAACCUUACCCGGGCUUGAAUUGCAACUGAAUGAUGUGGAGACAUGUCAGCCGCAAGGCAGUUGUGAAGGUGCUGCAUGGUUGUCGUCAGCUCGUGCCGUGAGGUGUCGGCUUAAGUGCCAUAACGAGCGCAACCCUUAUCGAUAGUUACCAUCAGGUUAUGCUGGGGACUCUGUCGAGACUGCCGUCGUAAGAUGUGAGGAAGGUGGGGAUGACGUCAAAUCAGCACGGCCCUUACGUCCGGGGCUACACACGUGUUACAAUGGGGGGUACAGAAGGCAGCUACACGGCGACGUGAUGCUAAUCCCUAAAGCCUCUCUCAGUUCGGAUUGGAGUCUGCAACCCGACUCCAUGAAGCUGGAUUCGCUAGUAAUCGCGCAUCAGCCACGGCGCGGUGAAUACGUUCCC
rnacentral:rRNA from 1 species